GCAUUCUUUUCGAUCUUGUACCCAGCAAGAAAACGAAUGCGCGAACGCGGCUUUCGCGCAGCUCAAUCCCUUGCUUGUUCGCUUCGCAUAGGCUACACAAGCGGUACACUGCACACCAAGCCAAUCUCGAAGAAAAAAGUUAACUACACGCAACUACAUCUGUGA